rnacentral:rRNA from 1 species
AGAGUUUGAUCAUGGCUCAGAACGAACGUUAGCGGCGCGCUUAACACAUGCAAGUCGUGCGAGAAAGGGGCAACCCCGGUAAAGCGGCGCACGGGUGAGUAACACGUAGGUAAUCUGCCCCCAGGUGGUGGAUAACCUUCCGAAAGGAGGGCUAAUACAGCAUGAGACCACGGGUCCGCGAGGGCCUGAGGUAAAAAGCC